rnacentral:lncRNA from 1 species
GCCAAUGGAGGUGUGUGAUGACCUGAGUCGUAUGGCGAGUAAAACUAUUUUUGGGGAAGUGAGAAGGGGAACUAGAUAAAUCUUAUUGAAGGUAUUUGACUUUGUGGCGAAAUAGUGUGAUAACUAACCGCAUGUGGUUUACUAGUUCAGCCAAUCUUGACGUGAUUCUAGUGAAUUUGCAUUUUAGGCUAGAUGUAAUGGGUAGUAUCAUCUAUUAGUAUACCACAUCCGUAAUGCAUAAUAUUAUAUGUUAUUAUUAUAGAAUAGUUUAUUUAUUGUCAUGUAAGACACAUGAUAACACAUUAUUUAAUAUAAUACGGUAUCAUGAUAUAUACCUGGCCAAACGGGCUGGCCCAGCACGGCACGGCCCGGCCCGCCGUAAACGUGCCACGCACGGCACGGCCCGCCUGGGCCCGAUUAAUAUACGGGCCGUGUCGUGCCGGUCCGCGUGCCUGGCAGCCAGGCCCAAGCACGGCACGGCUGGGUAAACGGGCCGGCCCGAGGCACGAUUAGCACGAUGGGUCUGAUUUUUUUAAGCAUAUGGGCCUAUUGGGCCAUAUUCUUGCAUAUAUAUAUAUAUUAAAAAAAUCUGAAAAUAUAUAUAAAAAAUAAACGGGCCGCGCCGUGCCGGCACGCAUGCCCAGCCUCCAGGCCCAGGCACGGCCCGAGGCGUGCUUCGUGCCGGGCCCGAGCACGAUUAACCCGUGCCGGGCCGGGCCCGUGUCGUGCUAGGCACGCGGGCUGUCGGGCCGGCCCAUUUAGUCGGCCUGUUUGGUCAGGUAUAUCAUAAUAUGAUACUCAACCUUUUUUUUUAUUCAGUUUUACAUCCCUUCAUUAAAAUUGCCUAGUUAACGUACAUGAUAGUACUAUGAAUGAUACUUUCUUUACAGACAGCCUCGUGGGCUCCGGCUACCGAGAAUCUCGUUAAAGUGGAGUCAUACCAAUGCACGUAGACUCACGCACCUAUCACUAGUAAUCUUGCCAGAUAUUAAUGGAAGGCGAAAAUACACGUCUCACACUGGUAAUAAAUCUUAGUGGUGGGCCUGGAUUGCACCGGCACUCCUAAUUUUGUCUCAGGUUAGCCAUGGACCAAGAAUUGCCAGUGGCGGGUGCAACCGAGGAUAUACCAUUGGUAUAUCAGUGAUGGCGUGUAAUCCUUGACGGCCACUGACAAUAUGGGCCCACAUUAGUUUAGAGGCAAGCCUGGUCCUAAGUGACCGCACACAGCGAUACCAAUCAAACUGGGAGCAACUAGUUGAGGGGCAUUUCCUCACAACUCUCCCAGCGAUCACUCCCACGCGUUGAUAUUUGACGCGUUCUUAGUUGUUGUCAUGUGUCGCGUUUUGAGCAUUUUUUUAUGUUUGUUUUGUUAUUUUUUUGCAUGUGUUUACGGCUUUUUAGAUCGUUUUUCGGGGUUUUUUGGUGUUUUGGUUUUUCAUCGUUCUUUAUUAGCUUUUGGAAAAAAUCAAAAAAUAUGUAAAAAAUGUGUUUUUUACGUGAGAUAUGGUUUUGCUUUCGUGAGAGGCAUGAUUUUGCUUCUGCGAGAGGCAGGACCGUGCCUCUCGAAAAGGGGAAAACCAUGUUUUUGGUUUUUUUCGUAAGAGGCACGGUUUUGCUUACGCAAGAGACACGGUUUUGCCCACGCGAAAGGCACGACCAUGCCUCUUGAAAAGGGAAAACACAUUUUCUUUUUUUUCACAAGAAGCGCGUUUUUCUUCCAUGAGAGGCGCGGUUUCUAAUUUGUUUCUAACGUGAGAGGCAUGAUUUUUUUGUCCGGUUUUCCUAUGAAAAAAUGUUCGUCAAAAGCUAUCAACUUGGGAUUUAGUUUAAAAAAUCUCAACGCGAGAAACGCAAAAAUGAAAACAGUACGAGAUUUAAACGCGCGGUUUAUGAAAUAAAAUAUUUUAAAAAUACGGAUAUAUAAAAAAGAGAAAAACUUCCAUGUUAUGUAUGAAAUACGGCACUUUUCGGUGGCAUUCAUCUCUAAAAAAAGAUAUGCUGGAAUUUUAUCUAUUUUGGACCAGCCCAAUAAUAAUUUCACAAAUUCAUAAUAAAUACUAAAGGCCCACGCAGCCCAUUCGUGCAAGUCAAGAGGUGAAAAAAAGUAGUUCCACAUUGCUAGUUUAGUGGGAGUUGGACCUCCUUAUAAGGAAGGAUGUUUCCACACAUGUAUGAGCUUGAGAACAAGAGAGACAUGCAUGCGCGCUCCUCCUCCUCCGUCGCACGCCUCGCCUCGUCACGCCACGCCACGGGUUGCGGGAAUGAGCCGAGCCGAACUAAUUUUUUGCCGCGCGCACGAUUGGUAUACAAAAGGUCACUCGAAAGACGAACGUUUUGCUAUAGUGGAAAUUGAACACGAACGCUGCACCUGUUUGUUCGUUUCGUCUCCCUCGUUCUCUUCGGCUCCCGUCGCUUGCCUCUCGCCUCCUUCUCUAGCGCCUAUAAAAGGGAGGUCGCUCCUCUCCAGAGAUAUACAUCAGAACUUUCUCUCGCCACCAGUUUCAUUCUCUGUGUUGCUGCUACGUUCUUCCCCAUCCCGACUUGCGGCGUGCACCGUAGGUCGGAACAGUAGGCCUCCGAAACUCCGUCUCUUCGAGUCCUGUACGGCAGAAGGGCGAUAAGGUUUUUGGGGAGCGCUCAGCGCGACUACUGGCGUUCAUCACGAACAUCGACGACCACUUCCCGGACAACGACUUCUUUCCCGACGUCGAUCACCUCUUCGGUACCAUGGCCACUGACAACGCCAACACAAACUCUACUGCUGUUGCUGCUCAGUACGUGCUUCUGUUCCUUUCGUUUGAGUUCUUGCCGCAACUUCUUGCUCUAGUUUCUCUUCUAGAUAUGUUCCGUUUCUACUCAUCUUUCGAGAUGUCUUCUUGCGUGUGUAGAACGGCUCUAUAUAUGUUCUUUUGUAGAUCAUAUGUGCACAUGUCUUUUGUUGUCUCAUCUUUAUAUUACCUGUCUUGUUUCAUCUCUAUUAUGAUAGUCAUGUUUUAUCUAUCUUUUCUGUUAAUAAAAUUUUAUGAUAAAUUGCUCAUAUUUCCAACAAGAUAUUCCUCGAAUGAAAUUGAAAUAAAAGAAAAAGCAGAACAAAGAAGUACGAGUCUUAGGUGUAUGAUGAUCAAACCCAUGUGUCUCCGAUGCAUCUGUGACCUGACAUUUCGCACAUUAAUUUUGCAACACAGAGAAAACCAUGGCUGGUAUGGAAUAUUCCGGACAAAGACCUGAAAACGAGCAUGCAUGGCAACGUGUAUCUCGUUUGGAUGGGACAACCAGCGUACUGAUCAUUCACAGAUCUGGAUACAGACCUCUUGGCAGAACCGUCAUCAGCAUCAAGGUCCGACACCUCGGUGACAUUAUGGCAUUCACGUACGAGAAUAACGCACACCUAAACUGCGAGAGAUGAGAGAUAAAUUCCAGAAUUCGCGUGAAUGCACACACCAAAAGAGAUGGCUCUGAGUCUAAAAAAAAAAAAGAUGGCUUCCCUGCACUCAUAUAGAGUAGUUAUUUAAAACCUUAAAAGCAAAAAAAUUAGAACUGGAACAAUUGGAAGCAGCCUGAUGAUUAUUAUCACAGUUGCAACUUGCAUGAGAACAAACACAUUGCACUAAGAAACUGACCCUGUCAGUUAUUGGAUCUCUUCCUUCAGUCUCUCCCGUUGUUCUCCUUCUUCAGAGAGAUCACUGGAUACAAAAUCCUUACCUGGAGUGUGUUCCCAGAUACCAAGUUCCAGUGAUAACAACUACAGUCGUAAUUAACGCAUGCACCUUGCCGAUCGACCUUAAUUUGGUAUACCAAUCGCAAUCAACCUUGCAAUGAGGGAACAAACUCAUAAGUAGAAGCACCAAAACUUGACAGAGUCAACAAUGUGAGUCCUGGUCAGCAUAGAGAUCAUGUGCAUAGAGAUCAAGUAGAACCACAAUGGCCUAGAGCCCGUGCACUAGUAAAUAGCACAAGCCAGCCGAAGUUUGGGCCAAGAGUGGUAUAAACAUGCCUAAAAACGCCUCAAAAACUAUAAUGUGCAUAAGAGUGUAGGAGACGAUGACAGCCAUGUCCCAGUUGCAUUCAUCUCAGAAGCAGAUUUCACAACAAAUUAUAUUCAUUCACAAGCAAAGAAACGCUGAAUAGGCUAAUAUGUAGAUUGCUAAAAGAAUCUUAGUAACUGAAGCCACAUGUAUAACCAACAGGAUGAACACCAGUAACAUGAUAAAGGUGCAACAACAGACAUUAGCUACAAAGCUGUGACAAUGGAGCAAAGGAAUGACACAUCCCAGUGUACCAUGCCAUUCUAACACUGUAAACCCCGAAGAAACACUCAAGGAAGAAAAAAAAAUGACAUCUGAUUUUCUGGCACAAGAUAAACAGCAACUAUAAAGAGAAAUAACAAGCUGAAUCCCUAUAGAUAGCUGCUCAUGGAUUCACCCGAGGCGGAUCUCCUCCCUCUAUCAGAGUUUAUUUAAGCCACAGCAGGCAUGUCCUUGAGCCAACCGUCGAGUGGCUUGCCAAUGGAGUAGACAAUGAAUCCAAUUUCCCUGAGCUUCUCAGAGUCAACAACAUUGCGGCCAUCAAAAACAAAGGCAGGCUUCUGCAUGCUGUCAUAGAUCUUCUUGUAGUCAAGAGUCUUGAACUCAUCCCACUCAGUCAUGAUGCAGAUGCCAUGGGCAUCCUUGGUCGCCUCAUACGCAUCCCAGGUAACCGAGACUUGCUUUGUAGUUGUGGGGCUCAUUGGCUGGAGAUGGACAGGGUGGUCCCAGUCAAAUUUGUUC